GGCGGGGUGCCGGAGCGGUCGAACGGGGCGGUCUUGAAAACCGUUGGGCGCGCAAGCGUCUCCUGGGUUCGAAUCCCAGCCCCGCCG
rnacentral:tRNA from 1 species